rnacentral:rRNA from 1 species
GAUGAACGCUGGCGGCGUGCCUAAUACAUGCAAGUCGAGCGAACAGAUGAGGAGCUUGCUCCUCUGACGUUAGCGGCGGACGGGUGAGUAACACGUGGAUAACCUACCUAUAAGACUGGGAUAACUUCGGGACACCGGAGAUAAUACCGGAUAAUAUAUUGAACCGCAUGGUUCAAUAGUGAAAGACGGUUUUGCUGUCACUUAUAGAUGGAUCCGCGCCGCAUUAGCUAGUUGGUAAGGUAACGGCUUACCAAGGCAACGAUGCGUAGCCGACCUGAGAGGGUGAUCGGCCACACUGGAACUGAGACACGGUCCAGACUCCUACGGGAGGCAGCAGUAGGGAAUCUUCCGCAAUGGGCGAAAGCCUGACGGAGCAACGCCGCGUGAGUGAUGAAGGUCUUCGGAUCGUAAAACUCUGUUAUUAGGGAAGAACAAAUGUGUAAGUAACUAUGCACGUCUUGACGGUACCUAAUCAGAAAGCCACGGCUAACUACGUG